AACGCACCUUGCGCCUCUUGGUAUUCCGAGGGGCAUGCCUGUUUGAGUGUCAUGAAACCAUCAAUGGGGGGACCUUUCUUUUAGAGAGGCCUCCUCCUUUGAAUGUGGAGUGUGCUGGCUUGUUCAGCUCCUCUGAAAUGCAUUAGCGAUGUGGUGUUCCACCUGCUCGAGCUUCGUUGGCAUUGAUAGUCAUUCAUGUCAGAGUUGUUCAGCUGUGGCAAGGUCCACUUGCUCCUAAUUUGUCGAUGGACUCCUCCAUCCUUUGACUCCUUAUAACCUCAAAUCAGGCAGGACUACCCGCUGAACUUAA
rnacentral:misc_RNA from 1 species